UACAGAGGUCCCGAGCGUUUGUUCGGAUUCAUUGGGCGUAAAGGGUGCGUAGGCGGCUUUCUAAGUCUGAUGUGAAAUUCCGGGGCUCAACCCCGAAACUGCAUUGGAUACUGGGAGGCUAGAGUCCUGGAGAGGAGACUGGAAUUUACGGUGUAGCAGUGAAAUGCGUAGAUAUCGUAAGGAAGACCAGUGGCGAAGGCGAGUCUCUGGACAGGUACUGACGCUGAGGCACGAAGGCCAGGGGAGCAAACGGG
rnacentral:rRNA from 1 species